rnacentral:rRNA from 1 species
UACGUAGGGUGCAAGCGUUGUCCGGAAUUAUUGGGCGUAAAGAGCUCGUAGGCGGUUUGUCGCGUCUGCUGUGAAAACCCGAGGCUCAACCUCGGGCCUGCAGUGGGUACGGGCAGACUAGAGUGCGGUAGGGGAGAUUGGAAUUCCUGGUGUAGCGGUGGAAUGCGCAGAUAUCAGGAGGAACACCAAUGGCGAAGGCAGAUCUCUGGGCCGUAACUGACGCUGAGGAGCGAGAGCAUGGGGAGCGAACAGG